rnacentral:rRNA from 1 species
UACGAAGGGUGCAAACGUUGCUCGGAAUUAUUGGGCGUAAAGCGCACGUAGGCGGUAUUGCAAGUCGAUGUGAAAUCCCUCGGCUUAACCAAGGAAGUGCAUCCGAAACUGCUGUACUUGAGUACGAAAGAGGAUCGCGGAAUUCCCGGUGUAGAGGUGAAAUUCGUAGAUAUCGGGAGGAACACCAGUGGCGAAGGCGGCGAUCUGGGUCGAUACUGACGCUGAGGUGCGAAAGCGUGGGGAGCAAACAGG